CUUAGAUGAAAUUGUAAAUUUUGUCAAAGUAUAUAUAUUAUGCAGUUUCCAGUUAUUGCUGGGCUCAGUGUAAAUUCAGCAAGUAAAGCUCAAGAACUGGCCUACAAUGUUGUGAGCUUUCCAUUGAUUGCAUUAUGGUUACAAGACCUGGGCAAGCAACAGAAACCCAUUAACUCAACCAUGUUAGCCCUGUUUUUCUGAGUCAUGUCUGGCCUAGAAUCCAAAAUUAACAG
rnacentral:lncRNA from 1 species